rnacentral:rRNA from 1 species
AACUUUCAGCAACGGAUCUCUUGGCUCUCGCAUCGAUGAAGAACGCAGCGAAAUGCGAUAAGUAAUGUGAGUUGCAGAAUUCAGUGAAUCAUCGAAUCUUUGAACGCACCUUGCGCUCUUUGGUAUUCCGAAGAGCAUGCCUGUUUGAGUGUCAUUA